CUACUGCUGGAUGUAUAGACUACUGUAUAGUUACUGUAAAUCCACCCAGACUACUGCUGGAUGUAUAGACUGUAUUGUUACUGUAAAUCCACCCAGACUACUGCUGGAUGUAUAGACUAUAUAGUUACUGUACAUCCACCCAGACUACUGCUGGAUGUAUAGACUGUAUAGUUACUGUACAUCCACCCAGACUACUGCUGGAUGUAUAGUUACUUUAAAUCCACCCAGACUACUGCUGGAUGUAUAGACUGUAUUGUUACUGUAAA
rnacentral:lncRNA from 8 species